UUGAGGAAAUGAUUUCGACAUUGGCUCAGAGAUGGUGCCACGAAUUCAUUUUCGCGCGCACAGAUGUUUUACGUCAUUGCCGGAUGAUGGAGCUGGAGGAUCUAUCAGUCAGAGCGCGCUCAUACUUCGUAUUUAAAAAGUAAAGAAGAAGUGUAGUGAACAAGUGAUUUAAUACAUCAGCUACCAGAAAAGUGAUAUAUGUGGUGGCGUAAAUUUUGCGAGUUCUCAUCGAGAAAUAUCGGACGUGUUUCGACUCUCUGUAGAAAUCUGGAUUUGCGGCUCAUGAUUUCCAUCAGAAUCUGGACUGGCGGCUGACCACAUUUGCGGUAUUACUACUUGCCGAAAACACGGAUUCUCCGGACCUUGAAUACCCGUUACCAAGAAGAUACGUGCAUUAUGUAGCCAGCGAAAUAUAUCAUCUGAGGCAUUACACAGGACCAUCAGGUGUAAUUUCUGGCAUCACCGGAGAGCUUCUUCCCGCACCUUCACAACGCACUAUCAAGGGAGAAAGGCGCUUUGUUCAUGCAGCACGUCGAGGAGACCAAGUUUUGCAGUAAGAACAUCCAGCGAGAAUUGUCAUCACUUCCUCAACAGUUUGCAAGUAGCUGGCAAACAUUGGCGGAUGCCUCGACUCGCGCAUACUUUGCCAGCAUUUCUUUUCACUACGUGGGAAUCGAUUGUCUGAGACGUUUUCUGAGAUGUUACGUUUCGAACGUCUUAUCCGGCAGAGGAAGAUGUCUAUAUGGGAAAACUGCGUUUCUCAGCAUCCGAGAGAACAGACUGACAGGGUGACUCGGCUGAUUCGAGUAAGGAUGCAGGCAGGGCAGGCAGACAGAGAUAGGAGACGGAAGAUCCAGGGGAGCAACUUAAACAGCGGCUAAAGCAAGAAGUAGCAAGUCAUAAUUGAGUCGGGCAAGUAUGGCGAGGUAUCUAUGUCUAUGUAGGUGGAAAGCACCGCUGCCGACAUACCUGACCAGAAUUCGAAAACAGGAAGGGUAACUCUCCGGGUAGGUCUCCGGGUCUCAAGAUGGCUUCCCUUAGUUCACCGUUCAUCGAAUGGAAUCCAGAUGUUUCCCGGCAUAUUAAUGCUGCACAAGCAAAUACAGCAGCUUAACUUUGCGGCGAGAGAGAUAAAGAUAAUUUGAAACUGGAUAAUUUGACAUUUGAAACAAAAAAUCGAUUUUUUAAAUUAAUUCAGGGACAUUUCAACGCUAUUAUAAGUUUCAA